rnacentral:rRNA from 1 species
AGAAUCAACGCUGGCGGCGUGCCUAACACAUGCAAGUCGAACGAGAAAGGAUAGCAAUACCUGAGUAAAGUGGCGCACGGGUGAGUAACACGUGACUAACCUACCCUGGAGUGGGGGAUAACUGAGGGAACCUUAGCUAAUACCGCAUAAUACCUACGGGUCAAAGGAGCAAUUCGCUUCAGGAGGGGUCGCGGCCGAUUAGUUAGUUGGCGGGGUAAUGGCCCACCAAGACGAUGAUCGGUA